rnacentral:rRNA from 1 species
AGUGAACGCUGGCGGUAUGCCUAAUACAUGCAAGUCGAACGACAACACAGUAAGAUUUUUCCCUUACGGUUGGCGAGUGGCGGACGGGUGAGGAGUACAUCACAUUCUUCUUUUUCGUGGAUGACAUCGUAGGGAAACUUAUGCUAAUACCUCAUAUGUCCUACGGGUUAAAUCAGUGGUUCUUCGCACUUUUCCUGACUCUAUUAGCUGAAUCCGCAUUAGCUAGUUGGCGUGGUAACGGCCCACCAAGGCGACGAUGCGUAGCUGAUCUGAGAGGAUGAUCAGCCACACUGGAACUGAGACACGGUCCAGACUCCUACGGGAGGCAGCAGUAGGGAAUAUUGCACAAUGGGCGCAAGCCUGACGCAGCAACGCCGCGUGGGUGAAGAAGGUCUUCGGGUUGUAAAACCCUUUUAUUGGGAAAGAAAAAAAGUAGAUUUAACCACGGCUGUUCUGACGGUACCCAAAGAGUAAGCAACGGCUAACUUCGUG